UUCAAUUCGACGUCGAUUAUCGUCGACGCAAACAGUUUGACAGUUCUCUUCAGUUGAUCUUGUUCGGACUUGAUCAAAUCAGAAAAACAAUAUUGUUGUAAAGGUUCGUGAGGAUUUUGGCUGGUUGAUUGACUUCCUGAUUUCAGCCUUCGCGACGGUGGAAGAGAACGUGAAACAUCGUUAACCCGGCGGAUCAUGCCGGAAGAUGGGACGGGAAGGAACCGGUCUGCGAUCGAAAGCGGAUUGGGAUCUGUAUCAAACAGUCUCCAAACAGGACAAUGAAAGUGUUGGUGGUGUUUGAUUUUUAGAGAAUGUCAAAAUCGCCAUUAUCAAUACUAAGACCUGGAAAAAAAGAACAAACUUGCGGCCGAGUACAACCUCUGAGUGAAAGCGAUGGAGGUGAACGAACUACUCACGGGG